CACCGCGGUUAAACGAGAGGCCCAAGUUGAUAGACAUCGGCGUAAAGCGUGGUUAAAAAAUUAGUACACUAAGACCGAAUACUUUUAGUGCUGUUAUACGUAUUCAAAAGUUAGAAGUUCAACUACGAAAGUGGUCUUAAUUUGAUAUUGAACCCACGAAAGCUAUGGUA
rnacentral:rRNA from 1 species